rnacentral:rRNA from 1 species
ACUCCGUGCCAGCAGCCGCGGUAAUACGGAGGGUGCAAGCGUUAAUCGGAAUUACUGGGCGUAAAGCGCACGCAGGCGGUUUGUUAAGUCAGAUGUGAAAUCCCCGGGCUCAACCUGGGAACUGCAUCUGAUACUGGCAAGCUUGAGUCUCGUAGAGGGGGGUAGAAUUCCAGGUGUAGCGGUGAAAUGCGUAGAGAUCUGGAGGAAUACCGGUGGCGAAGGCGGCCCCCUGGACGAAGACUGACGCUCAGGUGCGAAAGCGUGGGGAGCAAACAGGAUU